GACAGUGUGGCAUAGUGGUUUAAGUGUUGGAUUAUGACUCUGGAGACCAGGGUUUGAUUCCCAGAUCGGCCA